UAACCACUCAAGCUCUCGCUUGGUAUUGGGGUUCGCGGUUCCGCGGCCCCUAAAAUCAGUGGCGGUGCCUGUCGGCUCUACGCGUAGUAAUACUCCUCGCGAUUGAGUCCGGCAGGUCUACUUGCCAGCAACCCCCAAUUUUUACA
rnacentral:misc_RNA from 1 species